rnacentral:rRNA from 1 species
AGGGCAAGUCUGGUGCCAGCAGCCGCGGUAAUUCCAGCUCCAAUAGCGUAUAUUAAAGUUGUUGCAGUUAAAAAGCUCGUAGUUGAAUUUCGGGGUCAGCAGGUUGGUCGUGCCAAUGGUAUGCACUGGCCUUGCUGAUUCCUCCCUCUUGAUGAGCCGUAAUGCCAUUAAUUUGGUGUUGUGGGGAAUCAGGACUGUUACUUUGAAAAAAUUAGAGUGUUUAAAGCAGGCAAGCGCUUGAAUACAUUAGCAUGGAAUAAUGAAAUAGGACGUUCGAUCCUAUUUUGUUGGUUUCUAGGAUUGACGUAAUGAUUAAUAGGGAUAGUUGGGGGCAUUAGUAUUCAAUUGUCAGAGGUGAAAUUCUUGGAUUUAUUGAGGACUAACUACUGCGAAAGCAUUUGCCAAGGAUGUUUUCAUUAAUCAAGAACGAAAGUUAGGGGAUCGAAGACGAUCAGAUACCGUCGUAGUCUUAACCAUAAACUAUGCCGACUAGGGAUCGGAUGAUGUUAAUUUUUUAAUGACUCAUUCGGCGCCUUACGGGAA